UCUCAAUAACGUGCAGAUAUCAAAGGUUAACUUUUUUAUUCUUUUCUAAACAUAUUAUCUAGGAUUUUAGGUGUGCAUAUGAUACUAUGUUCUGGUUUUUGGUUUGGCAGGCUCCAGUAUGCUCAUAGAUAUAAGGGAAACCUGAAGCUAGCAGAUUUUGGACUACCAUAAUCAUUCUCCAAUAACCACAGUCCAUGGAUGAUGAUUUUCCCUUAUAGCUGACCCAUGUCUUUGAUAUUAUAACUUAAUUUUCAAUCAAGAAAAUUUACUCUUCUAUGUAUUGAGCAGACCUUCAGAGUUGCUUCUUGGAGCUACGAAAUAUGAUUCGGCAGUAGACAUGUGAAUGCUGAACUGAGUACUCAUGUGGCUAAGCAGUAAAGAGGAAGGAAUCUGCUGUCCUGUGUUAGGCAUUCAUGUCGUUUGAUUAUGAGUGCAGUUUCAUUGGAUGUUUUUUAGUUAAUGUGUAUUAUGUAGUUAUAGUUGUUAGAGCACUCAAGCACAGAAAUUCUGUAAUAGCUAGGUUGUUGCCAUUUCAGUUUGUAUAUACCUUACUCUUUUUAUAUGUAUUUAUGGAUCAUGAUGUUAUGUA